ACUACGGGUGGCUGCAGUGAGGAAUAUUGGUCAAUGGGCGAGAGCCUGAACCAGCCAAGUCGCGUGAAGGAUGACGGCCCUACGGGUUGUAAACUUCUUUUGUCAGGGAGCAAUUGGGUCCACGCGUGGGCUUAUCGAGAGUACCUGAAGAAAAAGCAUCGGCUAACUCGGUGCCAGCAGCCGCGGUAUUACGGAGGAUGCGAGGGUUAUCCGGAUUUAUUGGGUUUAAAGGGGGCGUAGGCGGAAUAUCAAGUCAGCGGGAAAAAUUCGGGGCUCAACCCAGUCGUGCCGUUGAAACUGAUGGUCUUGAGUGGGCGAGAAGUAUGCGGAAUGCGUGGUGUAGCGGUGAAAUGCAUAGAUAUCACGCAGAACUCCGAUUGCGAAGGCAGCAUACCGGCGCCCAACUGACGCUGAAGCACGAAAGCGUGGGUAUCAAACAGGAUUAGAUACCCGGGUAGUC
rnacentral:rRNA from 1 species